UUUUCUUUUGUAAUAUUUUAUGCCUUUUUAACAUUACAAAUAUAAAAAUCCCAUUUCUAACAAGCUGCAUCACUGUUGUACAUUUUCCACUGCUGGGACACAGUUAAGCAGGCGUAAGUAAAACUCUACUCUGACUAAAAUUCCUAGGAGUAAAAAACCCUGCCAAGUCCUGGUUUAUGGCCCACUCACAAUGAUGGUCACUAUCACAAAAGCUCAUAUAACAAAGCUGCUGAUAUAGACCCUCUGAACUGAUUUUAGACAGUUCUGAAUGGCUGAAUAUUUAGCAGGAAGGUAUUAUUUAUUGAUGUGGACAGAGGUGAGGUUUAUACAGUAGAAAUCUGUUGGCCACAGGGCAGGAUGGAGGAAGGGGGCAGGGAGGUAGAGUCCCUGUGAUAAACCCAGAUAAAUCCUUGGCCCUCCUACACCACUCUGGGCUCUUCAUCUGAAGACUUGGCUUCUAGUCCUAGCUCUGUCACUGCUGUGUUCUGAGCUUCAGUUUCCUCACUUCCAAACAGACACAACAAUACCUGUUCCGCUGUUUCACAGGAAUUAAGCAAGACAUUCAGUAAGGCUUUGAAAACACAAAGAGUGGUAUCAACGUGAAGUUCAAAUGUAUAAUAGUUGUUGAAUCCAGACAUAAGAGAGACAUUCAAAAGGCAAAUGGAAGAGCUUUCUCAAAUUAUCAAAGGGAGAAAAAUUAGCACUAGUUGUGAAUGGGCUCUAAGCUGCCACAAACCCGUUAGGAUUGGGAGACACAUAGAAGGACACAUGGGUCCCAAGGCUCAGAGUGACCGCAAUGAGCUGGCAAACCCACUGCCAAUCCUGUACACUAUCUGCUCAGUUGAGAAUAACCCAUUCCCAUCACAACUGACCCUCUGAUCCUGAAAAUCACACCUCAAGUCCGAGGCACCUUCUAUCAAACUUUGCAAUGAUGGGAAAAAAGUUACUCCACUUUGCAUAAGAAUUCAUCAUAUUCUAAGAAUCCUAUUACUAAGAGAUUGUUUUACAAAGCUUAUUUAAUAAAGCUAUUGGUAGAAACCAACAGACUUUUGCAAGUGACUAAAAAUCCAACAACUGUUAUAUGCUAGGAGUCUUCUUGUUCCAAACCAGAAUUUUGGUUAUGGUGUGUCUGAUCAAAAGAUAAAUAAGAAGUGCCUAGAUGAAAAAAAAAAAAGCAAUAAAGUGUGCUACCCUUUACACACGAAAAACUGGGAAAUAAAAUGAGCAUAUUUCUCUCAGGUGUAUCUAAAAGAAAGAGCAGAAAACAAGGGAUGGGAAUGAAUUAGGCCAAAGGAAUCAAGGUUGGAGUGACACUCUUAAGUAUAUCUUUUUCUAUAGUUUUGACUUUGGGAACCAUGUUAAUGUUCUUCACCUUAAAUUUUUAAAAAUUAAGUCAGUAAGGAUGAGAUGAAGGGAAAAUACCCCUAAACUGAAAGUGAUUUGAAACAAACAAAUCUGUAAUUCAAAUGAAUACCAUAACCAGACUGAAGGAGAAAGACAAAACUAAUUCAAAUAGCUCAUGAAUAUUUGACGACAUGCUCUCAGUCUUGGGUAGGAUUGGAGUGAGGGACGAACUACAAACAAAUGCUGAACUCUUUUCAGUAGCUUUGUUUUUUGCAGUGAUGUGGAUGAGACCAUUCUGAAACUAUCUUAGACACAUUACAGGAUUUAGCCAGUGAGUACAUGUGCUAAUGCUGCUGGGAGCCAGAGUUCUCACUGUGGAAGGAGGGACACAGAAACAUGGAACAGAGAAGAACCCUCUGGGGACAGACUGGAAUUGAAGGUGACUACUGCAGACCCAGACGUCCCCCUGGUGGCAUCCUACUCAGAAUGUCUCACAGCUCCUUGUUGCCUCCCUCAAGGAUCAAGGUCAGAUGCUUCUGCCUGCCACUCAAGGCCUUCCAGCCUUCUCCCAAGUGCUAUUCCAGCCUUAUUCACCCAUCCUAUAAAUGCACACCUUAUACUCUGGCCACACUCUUCUCAAUUCCGCAACCCUGUGAGCUUUUGUCUACAGAAUUCCAUCCACCUGAGCAGCCUUCUCCCAUCUUUGAAUCCAGUGCACCUUUCAAGACCAAGCUCAAGUCUCAUGCUUUUGGUGACACAUUCUCUGGCUUACCCCAUCCAAAUGCAUUCUGCCUGCCUCUAAUUCACCAGAAAACUCUACUCAUUGAGCACCAAAACAUGAAUACAUGUGUCCCCUACCCUGGGUGGCCCCCUCAGCCUUGCAACCUAACCAGAGCCCAGAGCAACACCUUACCCCAUCCCCGCUGGUGAGUGACUAUGGGGAGGCAGGGGCUGCUAUCACCCUCUUGUAUAGACACUGAGGCUCACAGCACUUGGGCACACAAGGCCAUGCAGCUGCUGAAUCUACCCUAAGCACCUCAAAAUGAUACCUGGAAGGAAAAGCAGGAGCAGAGGAAGGAGAAGGUAGACACCAGGAGGAUGAGGAUCAAAACCAGGCUACAAGGCCAGACACAGAGGCUCACGCCUGAAAUACCAACAUUUUGGGAGGUGAUGGUGGGAGGAUUGCUUGAGGCCAGGAGUUCGAGACCAGCAUGGGCAACAGAGUGAGACCCCAUCUCUACAAAAUAAUUUUUUUUAAGUUAGCCAAGUGCGAUGGCAUGCACCUGUGGUCUCAGCUACUCAGGAGGCUGAGGCAGGAGGAUCACCCGAGCCUGGGAGGUUGAGGUUGCAGUGAGCUGUGAUUGUACCACUGCACUGCAGCCUGGGUGACAGACAGAGACCUUGUCUCAAAAACAAUCAAACAAACAAACAAAAAAAAAAAACGAAAACAGGCUUCCUGUCAGUCCGGAAAGGGGCUUAAAUACAAAACUAUGGAACCUGGAUUACUUCUCUGUAGGCAAGGAGGAACAGACAGAAAUUUGAUAGGACUCCUAUCAGCUUUGACAGGUGUUAUGCGUGAACAGAAAAUGAAAAUAAGAAGAAAAUGGUGCUGAGGAAGACCAGAGACAUUCAGUAAGCACUGGGUGAUGGGUUGGAUUUAACAUCAAUACCAAUGUGGUCAAAAACACACUUCUCAGGAAGCCCCAGCUUUCUUACACGACUAUUUGGAAAAACACCUAUGACGCCUGUCACUGACCCCCAACCACCACCAUGCUACGGUCACUGUCACCUCUGCCCUUUCCACACCAGUCCCCUGGGUCUAGCACACCAGUGUAAUCAUCUCCCCUCAUGUGGACCUUCCUUGUCAGGGACCCGUGACACCCCAUCUGCCACAUGGACAUUUCUUGUCCACCUGUUCAGGGAAGAAGGACGGGCUGGGCGGGGCAGGAGGAGGGAUGGAGAAGAGAGGCUGGUCCCCGGUAUCUGAAGGGCUGCCAUAUGAAGGAAGAAGGAUGCCUGCUGAGGGUCUCAGGGCACAGGCACAAGUUUUGAAAUAAGACAACUGAUUUCAGCACAGUUGCCCUGGGAUGCAGCAACUUCCCCAGACAGGGAUCCUCAGUAGAGAUGGACUAAUGACUCGGCAGCGACACCAGAUCACAGCAUGUUCUAAAGACCUUUCAGCUGCUGCUGCGACUCCAGCCUCCCCAGCACCUCCUCCACGGGGACCUGACUGCUGUGACUUAGUCCAUUUUUUGUUGCCCAUUUCUUUCCCUGGGCAACAGCCUGGCACACUCUUGGACCUGGCAGCCAAGUAGUUUGGUGGCAUUGACACCCAAGAAGCAUAAGUGCUGAGUGAGUUCAUGAGAAAUGGCUGCAGGGCGCUCUGACGACAGAACAAUGGUAUGCGCCCCAUACUCAUCCAGCCCCCAAAAGACCUUUAGAUGGAAUAGACAAACACAGCAGAACAAGCCAAAAUCGUCUCUGAAACAAGCACAGCCUGAGCCCACCCCACUGUGACUGCAUCGCCCAGGGUCCUUCACCUGUGACUGCAUCGCCCAGGGUCCCAGGAAUAACCAACAGCAGCUUCAGCAGAAUAAGAGCCUGCACAGCUGGGGAAAGCGACCUGGGUUUUGGCAAAACAGCCUGAGUCUCUGCCAUGUCCCCUUCUCUAACAAUAACAGAAAAAAGCCCCUCAUUUAUUUAGAUUGUUCCUAGAGUCCUCCAAAUGUCUUUACAUUCACUGCCCCCUGGGCUGCUCACAACCUCAGUGGAAGAGGCAGGAGGAGGAUUUUCACAUCCAUUUCACAAAGGCCAACACGGAGGCUCAACGAGGCAUUGUUGCUGGCCUACAUCAUAUGCCCAGUCAACAGGACAACAGCGUUACUAACCAGGCUCCAAACCCUACGUCCCUUCCGUGGGGCUGUGGCUCACGGGGAGGUCAUGAAUCAGGACCAGGGAGGGAGGACAGGGCAUAAAGCACAGCUCUGCUCACUACUGCACUCUGAUUUUCCCCAAGAGCCCCAACUCAGGACAGAGAAAGGUGACAGCCCCCUUUCCGCUCAUCUCUCCACCUGCUGUCCCUCACUCCCACUCAGUAAGCACCACUCCAGGGAGAGAACCCCUUGCCCCAGACCCAGCCAGCCUCCAUCUAAGGAGCCCCAGUGGAGCCCCCACGGGCUGGGCACAUGCCCCAUGUUCUGCAGAGAGGCCACCAGACACUCACAUGCCCCAGGAUUUACAGGCCCUGACAUCCUGAUCUCCGGGACCCCUGGCUCAGCCAACACUACUGGAGACAGCACGCCCAGGCUGCAGCCAGCCAUCACACACAAACGGAGGUGCAGGUGGAAUGGGACUGCCGCAGAUGCAAGAGGACACGCAGUUUGCUGUGGGAACUUUCAUUUCUUAAACGUCCCAUAAAAUAAAUGGGCCACUGGAAGUCA